ensembl:processed_transcript
CGGACGUUGCUCUUGGUAGCAAUCAUGUAUUGCCCAUUUUGCGGGGCUUCACUUGACAGUUGCCCGUCAUUCUGCAGCAAAUGUGGAAAAAACAUAACGUUUCUGAAAGGCAAAGUUCCUGAUGGAAAUGAGCCCAGCACCAGUGGAGGAAAAACAGAAACAAGUUCUGUGGAUUGCUUCAUGAA